UAACGCGUUAAGUCGACCGCCUGGGGAGUACGGCCGCAAGGUUAAAACUCAAAUGAAUUGACGGGGGCCCCGCACAAGCGGUGGAGCAUGUGGUUUAAUUCGAUGCAACGCGAAGAACCUUACCUGGUCUUGACAUCCACGGAAGUUUUCAGAGAUGAGAAUGUGCCUUCGGGAACCGUGAGACAGGUGCUGCAUGGCUGUCGUCAGCUCGUGUUGUGAAAUGUUGGGUUAAGUCCCGCAACGAGCGCAACCCUUAUCCUUUGUUGCCAGCGGUCCGGCCGGGAACUCAAAGGAGACUGCCAGUGAUAAACUGGAGGAAGGUGCGGAUGACGUCAAGUCAUCAUGGCCCUUACGACCAGGGCUACACACGUGCUACAAUGGCGCAUACAAAGAGAAGCGACCUCGCGAGAGCAAGCGGACCUCAUAAAGUGCGUCGUAGUCCGGAUUGGAGUCUGCAACUCGACUCCAUGAAGUCGGAAUCGCUAGUAAUCGUGGAUCAGAAUGCCACGGUGAAUACGUUCCCGGGCCUUGUACACACCGCCCGUCACACCAUGGGAGUGGGUUGCAAAAGAAGUAG
rnacentral:rRNA from 1 species